CCUGAUUAACCAUAAGAGGUCAAGCCUGCCCAGUGACAUUUGUUUAACGGCCGCGGUAUCCUAACCGUGCGAAGGUAGCGUAAUCACUUGUCCUUUAAAUGAGGACUAGUAUGAACGGCUUCACGAAGGCUAUGCUGUCUCCUUUAUCUAAUCAGUUAAACUAAUCUCCCCGUGAAGAAGCGGGGAUACACCUAUAAGACGAGAAGACCCUAUGGAGCUUUAAAUACUUUAAAACACCUGAAUCUGACACUAGAAACUUCCAGAAAACUUUAUUUAACAUAUCACUUUGUUUUAAACUUUAGGUUGGGGUGACCACGGAGAAAAAACCAACCUCCACGUAGAAUGAAAUUUUCUUUCUAAGCGAUAAGCUACAUCUUUAUGCAUCAAUACAUUGACCUAAAUUGACCCAAUUUUUUGAUCAACGAAC
rnacentral:rRNA from 1 species